UCGAAAAGUUGUAAUACACUUGCCGGCUUUUUAGAAGUCAAACAAUUGUAAUCGAAACAAGACCCUAGGCAGAAUUUGACUACAUAUCAAAUUCCUAGUCAGUUUGAAAAAAUUUUUGAAAUGCUUACAACAAAUUUCUUAUUGUUUUUGGCCAUUGGCGGCUUAUUUAGCUUGACACGCGUAGACUAUACAGCUGCUGCCCCAACGAAAAAUGCUGCCAAUGCUGGAAGUAAGAUGUUACUUCCAACGGAACGCUUGCAAUUUACGGUCACUGCUACCAAUCAGAAUUUACUUCCAAUGGCAAGCGGCCAAUUGGUGAGCACCGUCAACAAUAAGAAUUUACAUCAAAGGGCGAGUUCACAAAUAGCUGACACUGCUGAAAAACAAACUUUACUUCCAACGGAAAUAUCUGAUAAUUUAAUGAAUCAGGAUUUACUUCCAAUGGAAAACAGGCAAUUGGCAAAUCAGAAUUUACUUUCACUGGCUAGCUCACAGAUUGGUAACACUGAUGAUAAUCCAAUGAUAAAAUUGGAAAUAGCUGACACUGAUCAAAAUCAAAGUUCAUUUUCAAUGGACAACCUAGAAAGGGCCGAAAGUGCUAAAAGUCACAGAUUGUUUUCAAUUAAAAACUUGCCACAUUUUGGCGGCUCUGAUAAAAAUCAAACAUUUCUUGGCGUUCCAAGUGGAGCAGACCAUGUCACAAAUGACUUAAUGAAGACAUUAGAUGCAACAAAUGAUGAUCUUAAAAUAUAUGGCACACGUUUAUUACCGCUGGGAUAUAAACUGAAAACUUCGGAUUCAAGGACCAUCCCUUCUCAGCCGCUAUUCAGCUAUAAGAGAACUUCUGACGCUCCGCCGCAAUAUGAUCUAUAUGAAACUCAAAAACCGAGAAUCGAUUAUUAUCGACCAUUAAGUUCCUAUC